rnacentral:rRNA from 1 species
UACGUAGGGUGCAAGCGUUGUCCGGAAUUAUUGGGCGUAAAGAGCUCGUAGGCGGUCUGUCGCGUCGGCUGCGAAAAACUCGGGGCUCAACUCCGAGCUUGCAGUCGAUACGGGCAGGCUAGAGUUCGGCAGGGGAGACUGGAAUUCCGUGGUGUAGCGGUGAAAUGCGCAGAUAUCAGGAGGAACACCGGUGGCGAAGGCGGGUCUCUGGGCCGAUACUGACGCUGAGGAGCGAAAGCGUGGGGGAGCGAACAGG